rnacentral:lncRNA from 1 species
GAAUAAUGGGUUAGGGGUGAUGCUCACAGUGAGGCGGUUGCUCAGUAGGCGGUGAUGCUCUCUAAUGAUGGUGAGGGGAUCAUUUUUAUAGAAUAAGGGUUCGCUCCUCAGUACAUGAAUAAUGGGUGCUCUCUAAUGAAAGUGAGGGAGUCCAUUUUAUAGAAUAAGGGCUCGCUCCUCAAUACAUAAAUAAUGGGCUAAGUCCCCUAAGUAUUUUUUAUGAGGCCCAGUUGAGGCCCAAUAUAUGGUACAUAAUGUAGUCCCCCAAGUCUUCGGUCAAUAGAGUAUGUUGGUUGGAGACUUCAAAUUGAAUUCAUGUAUGGCCCGAAAUGGCGGUUGUUCGGAGGCGGUAUUUGUAUAUCCUACACUGAA